AUCCUCCCCAUGCCGGGAAGGAUGAGAAGCUUCGACUAAGGUUCGAGUCGAGCGAAAGCGAGAAAGCGUUGCCGCAGGCAAUGACCCGAAGGGCGAGAGCAGCACCAACUAACAUUUCCCCUGAUGCGC
rnacentral:sRNA from 1 species